rnacentral:rRNA from 2 species
ACGGGAGGCAGCAGUGGGGAAUAUUGCACAAUGGGGGAAACCCUGAUGCAGCGACGCCGCGUGAGUGAAGAAGUAUUUCGGUAUGUAAAGCUCUAUCAGCAGGGAAGAAAAUGACGGUACCUGACUAAGAAGCCCCGGCUAACUACGUGCCAGCAGCCGCGGUAAUACGUAGGGGGCAAGCGUUAUCCGGAUUUACUGGGUGUAAAGGGAGCGUAGACGGCGAGACAAGUCUGAUGUGAAAGGUGGGGGCUCAACCCCCAAACUGCAUUGGAAACUGCCUGGCUUGAGUGCCGGAGAGGUAAGCGGAAUUCCUAGUGUAGCGGUGAAAUGCGUAGAUAUUAGGAGGAACACCAGUGGCGAAGGCGGCUUACUGGACGGUAACUGACGUUGAGGCUCGAAAGCGUGGGGAGCAAACAGGAUUAGAUACCCUGGUA